rnacentral:lncRNA from 1 species
UGUGCCGACACUUGCAUCUCCUGCUGUGGAUCAAAUCCAGGCCUUCAUCAUGCUAAACACUCAUACAACCACCUAAACUAUAUCCCAAAGGUUUUAAGCUAUUUUGAAUAAAAUGUAUAUUAAAUUUUCAUUUGCUUUUUAAAAAUAAUGUGCAUGUGGAGGAUAUAAUUUUAUGAGCUGUGAUGGCCUUUGGGGGCUUAAUCUGAAGUAAUAAAACAUAGCAAUAAAAUGACCCCUAACAACAUUCUGCUAUACCUAUAAAUCAGUAUCUCAUUUGGCCAUCAUCACAGAAGCUUCCUCCUACAGUGGAUGGGAACUAAUACACAGACUACACGUAGUCAAUGUAUAGAGAGUAAGUGACUUUGAAAUACUUGGUCCAAAAUAGGAUGCCUUCAUUAAACCGCUUCCUUAGAUGCUCAAGGAUGUAUGCAGAAGAAGAGGAAAAGACUGCAGGAGUCAGAGGUAUUGCCAGUGCUGUAAUCCUAGCACCGAAGAGGCUGAAGAUGUAUUACCUUGAUAUCCCAGGCCAGCCUGGCUAACAGAAUGAGGAAUGCUGGAAAGAUAGCUCAAUGGUUACAAGUAUCCAGUGUUCUUGCAGAGGACCUGAGUUCAGUUCCCAGCAUCCCUAAUGGGCACCUCCCAACUCUCUUUGAUUCUGCUUCUAAGGAAAUUUCACAUCUCUGGUCUUCAUGGUUUCAGCUACUGGGAAGUCUGAGCUAAGUGGACCCCCAAGUUCAAAGCCUGCCUGGAUUACAGAAUGAGUUCAAGGCCAGAGUAGGUAAUUUACUGAGACCUGUUUCAAAAUAAAAGAAUGAACAAUGCCUGGGAUGUUUCUCUGUGAUAGGCAUUUGCCCAUAUGUGCAAGGAGGCCCACCUAGUUUCAACCCCUGGUACCAUGAGAAAGCUAAACAAACACAAAAAU